CUGACACACUACGUCAGACACGGCCACGUCUCCGGCUAAGUCUUCCAUGCUGGGCUCAGACUCCGCCUACAUCUGGAUCCUCUCUCUGAUUGUUUUCUCCUGUGUUCUUUUUGCUGCUCUGUUUCACUACCGGAGAACUGGAACCUUCUCAUCAUCUCUCUCUCAGUUCCCUGGAGAAUCCACGAUGAAGGAGUCACAAGAUCCACUCGUAGCAGCAGGAAACCCCGAGACACAUGCAGACAAAGAAAUCAUGGCCCCUGUUCCUGUCUGAAGUGACAGAAGAAAAGAGAGAUCGUGUGUGCAUGGGGGUGCACAAGUGUGUGUGUGUGUAUGUGUUUGGGUGUGGGUGC